CCGAGAGGAAGGGAUUGCUACUCCCACUCUGUGCAUAAGGAAAUGGGGCUUGGCUGUGUGCGCCCAUGAAUUUGUACUCGGUGCCAAAGUGUCUUUAUAAUGACAUCCUGGAACAACAGUACCUUCUGAGCACCACUUUCUCCCUAGGCAUUCUCCGAGCCUCAAAGCCCUUUCUUUCUCGUGGAUCUAUGAGGGGAAAAGGAAAGGAGGCCUGGUUAAGACCACAGCCAUGUUCCCUCCGCUGUGCAGAACGUCCUGCAAGGCAUGAGUGGUCGGUCACAGAAAGAGAAAGAGGCCUUUGUGAUCUAGAAGUCCUCAUGCAGCCCGCCUGAUGUGGGCAUUUCUCAUCCUUCAAGGAGGAGCAAGCAGCCAUUUCCAGAGGAGAAGCGGAAAACAACAGAAGGCUCCUCAAGCCCAGAAUCCUCUCCCACCCCAGGCUGCCCAAUACCUCAAAUGCCACAUGGCCUCCAAUGAGCCCCACCUCCCAGUACCAAAAUAAGCCACUGUCUCUGGACCUUUAUCUUGCCCUGACCUGGCAUGCUCCUUCUCAGCCCUGCUGGACAUUAUAUAUGAAACAUGAAAGACUCUGAAAUGUGGAAGGAAGAAGACAAACUGAAUAAGGACCUCAGGACAUGAGAAAUGACAUGGUUCCCUGCAUAGAUGCUGCCUGAUGGAGAGAAGGAAGAAGGGAGACAGCCGUUUCUGCCGAGCCACUCCUUGCCCCCGUCCUGCAGUCCCUGCCAGUGAUCCUCAGGGCCAGAUCCCUGACCAGACUCAGCGGUGGGUGU